GAUAGAAGAGAUGAAAUAACGACGAAGAAAAUAUUGAGCAAACCCUUUGGAAUUUGUUUGUUCACAAUCGUGUGAUGACGUUGGGAAACAGAAUGGAGAAAAAUUGAGCAAACGAAAUAUUGCGUUGACGCAACGUUGUUUCUCAAUGAAUCUGGUCGCGUGCGUCUGGAAGCGCCAGGGUUGGCUCGAAAACGAAAAAUUGUGGUUUCACGUUUUAUAAAACGGUCCUGGCUUCAUAUGGAAUCUUAUAUCAAACGGGAUAUACUAGGAAAGUGAAGCAAACAGUGCUCGAUGUUACGUAAACGUGUCACAUACUGUACGCCGCGGUUCCAAAGGAAGCGGAUUGAUAUUGAUAAUUCGUAUAGGCAUGAACGAAGUUCACCGACGACGACGACGACGACAGUCUCGAUACGCGAGCAGCCCGGCUAAUUAAUGGUUACAAUGAUUCUGUGCCAACGGUAACAAUGAUUGUGUUGUGAUUGGAUGAAGCGCGAAUAUGACGAGAGAGAGAGAGAGAGAGAGAGAGAGAGAGAGAGAGAGAGAGAGAGAGAGAGAGAGAGAGA